AGUGUCAGCUCCUGUCACUGUCACCUUUUCCUAUCUUCUUUACUUUCUCUGAAUAAAUAUUUAUUGAACACCCACUAGAUCAAGUCGGGAUCUGGUUCUUGUUUCCAAAGCAAGGACAGAGGAAAAACGAUAGCAGGGAAAAAACCACCAGUCUGAGACUUGGAAAAAACCUGGACUCUGGUCCUAGCUUGGUCACUAAUGUCUAGGUGGCUUUUUCACUUGUAAACUAUGAGAUCCUUUUGGGGAUUUGGAACAGGGGCAGAGGUCAGUGCCAGGCAUCAGGUUCCGGGCAGCCUUGUGAUGACACAGCAGCUGCCUAACAACCACAUUGAGGGACAGAAUUUGCGCUCAGCCCUGGGGAUGGGUUGGGAUCAAGAGGUGGAGGAGACAGAGGCUACUGCAAGUGGAAGGAGAAUGUGCGGGUCCGAGGAGUGGUUAGGAACUGGGUACAGCUUCAGCAAGGGGACCCAGGAGCCCAGCACAGCACGGAGCAUGAGCUGUACAGGAAGAGGCCAGGUUUGUGUGGAAGUCAGUUGCCAAUGGAACAAACAGCAGGUGGCAGCAAGGGCGAUGCAGCCACCAUUUUUGACCCCAAGACACUGGAAGAAAACAACAGAGAGCCAGUGGCCACAGGGGAGAAGCAGGCUGCUGCUAUGGAAUACAGUCGCCUCCCCCUUGCUCUUCAAUCAGGCGACCUGGGGACCUGGGCAUCGAAGCUGCCCGCACUGGUCACCAUGUCUACCAAGACCUAGACAAGGACAGCGUGGAGUCAAUGCCCUCCCUAGUCCCAGAACCUUGACCUCAACAUACAACCCUGGAGGAAGAGAAAUCAUGCCCAAGCCACCAAUGAUGCAAUCACAGGCACCACUGCCUCUCACAAGACAGUACUCAGUGACUCCUCCACUGUCAACGUGAGGACCCUGGGCUCACAUCCCCGACAUCAUCUGCUGAGCUGCUGACAGCUGGACUCAGAGCUAAGGACUUCGUCUUGGGUUGGAAAACCUGUUCCCUCCCAGCUGCUCUCGGCUGUUUUCACCCCAAUCAGCCUUCACAAAUGGAUCUAAACAGCACUGCAGAACACAGGAGUGUGAAAUUGGAAAUAAAAUAGGCCUUUCCCCAUCUA